GUUGUGCGGCGAACGGCUUGGAAGGUGGCAGCUUCCUCAGGAGCAAAGGACGGCUGUGCCGGGGCGGCAGGAGGAAUGCGGCUCCUUGAGGGCUGGCGCCCUUUGCAGGUGGGUCAGUCGCUCCAGGUGGGACAGACAUCGGCUGCACAAGGACCACGGCAAAUCUGCCCCCAGGACGCUUCCAAAGAGGGCAGUGGGGUCACUCAGUGCCCGUGAACGCUCAGGGUCACUCAACGUCUGUGAACGCUCAGGCACCAUGCUGAGUAGCCACCAGGUCAGCAGCCCCGGGUGCGGCCCCCAGACAGGAAGGGUGGGCUCCUGCUUUAGCCUGGCAUUGUCUUUGCUUCUGUUCUUCCUUCUGGUGACUUCCACCUUGGAACCUGGGAGCUGGAACGGUGCACACCCCAGUGUUGUCAGAAACAUCCUCCAAAGCCUCCAUACACUGCUCCCCUUGGAAGGACAGGAAGAGGCUCUAUCUCCGACUCCCUGAGGGAUCUCACCCCUGCUGGGCAGCAUUUACCCUAGGGAAGAAUGGACGAUGAGCAGGGGAUGAUGAGCAGGGAAGCAGCUGAAACAUUGGCAAGGCAGAGACCACGGCAGAGGCCACGUCAGAGACCACAGUGGAGGCCAUGUCAGAGACCAUGGCAGACGUCAUGACAGAGGUCAUGCCAGAGAUCCCCUGGGAGCAGAGGGAGUGCCCACCCGCAGGACGUGGGGGAGCAAGGCUGCAGCUGUGGGGAGCACUUGGGCACAUCACAGCGUGGGCAUGGCAGACGAAGACAUGCAGGCCACACGCAGGAAGGCACAAACGCACCGGUCACAGUGUCAGGGGAGCACUGGGUGGUGUCACAAGGGAUGUGAGCUUUUGUCUGUUGUGUGUCUGUAUGUGUGUUUUAACAGUAAGAUUGGGUUCGGGCAAAAUCUAAGGGAAUAAAAAGCAGGGGAGUGGCUGUGUGUGAAUCUGGAGCACAGGUGGCCAUGCAGUGACAUUAAAAUUAGGUCAAAGGAAAGACUAGAGCCAGGGGCGAAGGCGGGAGCGUGGUAGGAAGUGGGGACGGCCUGGCCAAGGCCCCGCCAGACCACAAAGCUCAGGCCCAGACCGCAGAAGGCCGAUAAGAGCGUUCCGGAAAUCAGCUCUGUCUCGGAAAGAGCCAGGCCCAUGGGCUCCUGGCCGUGGGCAACCAAGGCUGAGUCAAAGCCACGUUCUCAAGAGAAUCCAGUGCAAUUAUGCAGAGACUCAUUUAAAAUGACAAGUACUUUUUAAAAGUCACUCUCUGAAAAUGACAUUCAAACCAAUUAUCAUUAAGGGAAGAUGUAAGUUAGCUUUGUUUAAAAAAAAAAGAAGGUGGAGAAGAAUAAAAAUCUGUUUUUAGAUACUUUGUAUGUUGCAGUUUAGAAAUACUCCUGCUGAAUAAAACCUACAGGAAAUGGAAGCAGAGGCGUGUGCAGCCAGCUCAGGAGGGAGGAGGUGAGCUUUGCUUUGCCUGAGUGCUGGUGAGAUUUUGCCACCG
rnacentral:lncRNA from 10 species